AUUCUUUUUAAAAUUCCAUCACUAAUUCCCAUGAUGUGAAGAGGUUUCUAUUUCAUAAGACACAAUAAAUCAAGCAACGCCUCUGUUGUAACGUCGUCCUUACUGCGCAUUUGUCAUGGGCCCUGGAUUGCUGAGUUUACUCAAGGUUAGAGAGUCAAGCUGCUUUGAGGACACACUUGGCCAGUGCCGUGAGCAUGCACGUAGCCCCAUCAGAGGAGCCGAAGGUAUAAAACUUCCGUCAACUUGAGCGACCACAGCUGCUUCAGAAAAGUCAUGGGGCAAAAAGUGACCCUGGGAGAUUUUGAAGUUUGAGUGCUCUUGUCCUGGCACUCUGGACAGUGUAUGAUGGCCACGUCACACUUUUGUAGGAAGAACUCAUGUUUCUGGCUUGCUACUGGACCACCCAAAGACUAAAUGCCUAACCAUGGGACACCAAGAUACUAUGUGAUGUGAGCUUCCCAUUAUGAAUUCAGCGUUGUCUGAUGCACCUAGCCAUAAGGUUGAGUGUGGACAGUGCAAUCUAUCUUCAAGUGGCAUUCUUUACAAUCAAUUAAAUGACAGAUCUUGAGCCUAGUUUAGAGACGGUCUUGCAUAUUAUGCCGAUACCACCGAAAGUGGACAGCUCCAUUGUUACAGCCUUAGGGGUGACUCUGAUAAUAUGUAUGUCCUAUUGUUUCUGUUUCUUUGAACCCUGGUUAAUAGAAUAUAUAAUAUUGCUGUAAUGUAAUAUACUGUAUUAUAUUAUCAAUAUAUUGUGUAUUUUAUUAAAAUACUAAUAUUAUAUAUUACAAUGUAAUAUCAAUUGUGC
rnacentral:lncRNA from 10 species